CCAUCUUAAAAGCCAAGUUUUGCUAGCAAGCAAAUUAAACUCCUAUCACUUUUUCAUUAGCUAUUUCUCUCACUUCUCUUCAUUAAUCCAUUCUCAAAGUGAAAGUUCUAACAAUGGAAAACACUUAUAGAAGAAUCUUUCUUCUCUUGUUCUUGUUUUUCUCCAAUUUUUCAUGGUUUCUAGUAGGAGUUUCCCUAUUGUAGAUAUAAUUCCUAGAAGAUUGGCUGUUUCUUUCACAUCAUUUUCUGUUAAUCCAGGUAAGAUGAAUGAAUCAAUGGUAGAACCUGAGAAAGCUGUGGGGAAUAAUUUAAGGAAGAAGCCUCCAAGUUCUUGGAAUCCUAUACAAAAUACUUUACAUCCAUGAUCCUCUCAAAGUGAAUGUUAAUAACAACACAUUAUGGGGAUUCUUAUUCGAUCAUGCUUUCUUCAGGUCGAAUGGCUAUCCAUCCCACCAAAUCUCUUCGAAUUUGGUGUCAGCUACUCGCUCUUUGAUCAAUGAUUAUUCGCUUUCUUUGAUCAAUGAUUAUCGAUAAAUGAUCUCUCCAAGAUUUGCUAUUUGCAUUUGUGAUCGACGCGCUAUAAAAGGAGAUGAGAGGACAAAGGAAAUUAAGUUGUUUGGUGCAGGCAGCAAUGUUUAUAUUGCUUGUUUCUAUUGUUUUAUUUCAUUUUUUUUGAGCCGAGUAUCUAUGAGAAAUAACCUUUUCACCUUUCCAAAACAGGUGUAAGGUCCGCGCGUAAAUACACACUAUUCUCUCCCUGUUUCAUUUAUGGGAUCCACUGAAUGUUGUUGUUGUUGGUGCAGACAGCGAUGCAUGCGCUUUUUUCUAUUUGUAGGAAAUUAUUGUUGUUUCCUCUUUUUAGUUUUUUCCUUAUUUCUUUCUUUCACAGAUUUAGGGUACGAAUAAGGAAAGAGACUCUAAUGUUAUGUAUACUCUUACUGACUUUUUUGCAGUUGUUUUUUUACCCUUUCCUUGGAUAUGAGACAAUAUUGAUCUUAGUAUAGAUUAAGUAUUUACAUUCUUUUUUUUUCCUUUUGUUUUUCUCCCUACAAGGUUAUUGCCUUGUAUGAGUGCAAAUUUCUUAUUAGUUCUUUGUCUGUACGAACUAGUUGGAAAGGCUGGACAAGUGUUUGUAGAGUAUUUUGCACUAACUAGGUAGAAAUGUGUGUCCCUUGAUUAGAUCAAUAUUGAUGGAUGCAGGAAUUAAUUCGUUACCCCUCCUUUU
rnacentral:lncRNA from 1 species